UUCUGGCCUUAACCCUCCCUGGACAUCCCCCACUCCCACGGAGGCACAGGGAUCUGCAAGCCCACGAGCACUUCCUUCCUCCUGUGCCUCGUCUCCAGCGUCUCUGUGCCCAACAAGCCGCUUCCUCGCCAUCUUUCAAAGUCCAGUUCUCUAGGAAAUUAACUCUCCUUCCCCUCCAAUUCCAUUGUAGAGCUGCCUGCCCCUGGACACAAUUAACCACUAUUUUCCGGGUUUGUGCUGGUCCCUUUCCAUGCCUCCCUCUCUAAUCACUUUUCAUGAAGAUGGUGAACUUCAGAGAGCGGGGGCCAGUCUCUUGCAUCCUCCUCCCCACCCACCCCUCAUCUCAGACGGUGCCUGCGCAGGCCUGGAGAAGUAUGACUGAAUCAAACUCUAUGUUUACAACUGUGAUGGCCGCAGCUCCAGACACUGCUUACUUUCCUGUAACACACGUUAUUGGUUUCGGAUCCCAAAAACCUUGGCAUGAAACGUCUUUCAAUGCCAGAACACCUCCAUCCCUUCCAGAAAAGUUCUACGGGGCGCCCACAGGCGUGGACAAGGCGGUCAUUUUUAGCUUCAGAAGUUGCGUGUGUGAGGGGGGUCGCCGCACGCCCGUCGGCGCCGCACUCAGAAAUAAGGGGAAAGAAGGGGCUGUGCUCCGUCCGCCCUCAACUUCCUGCGGGCCCGCCGCUCCCGCCGCGGACCUCCGCCGCCGCCCUCGCUCCCGACCCCGGAGAGGCGCGAGGCGCUGCAGGUGCUCCCCGCGGCCGGCGCAGGCCCGGCCGCCCUGCCCGCGCCCCCGCGGCCCCCCGGCCCGCCGCCCGCCGCUCGGGGCCCAGGCCGCGCCGCCGCCCCGAGCGGAGCUGGGGGACUCGGUCGGCUCCGCGUGGCGCCGGGGGCGGGGCCGGCCGGCCGGCGGCCCCGGGGAGAGGCCGGGGGCGGGCGGCGGCCUCCGCCUACCCCUCCACGCACCCCACCGCCCCCAGCCCCAGCCCGCCCGGGGCCCCGGUCCGCGCCCGCGGCCGGCGGGACUCACCACUUACCAGCCCGCCUGGGACAACGCCGCGCCGGGGACCUCGGCCAUGGUAGCUGCCCAGGCCUGGGCUGCUGGGGGGCUGCGGUGGGGGCGGGGGCACGGCCUCCUACUUAAGACUAAAAACAAAAAAGAAAAGAAAAAAGAAAGAAAAGAAAAAGAAAGAAAGAAAAAAACUCCUCUGGUCGGCCCUGCAACUGGGCAUGCUCAGUGCGGCCGGCGCUUCCGCGUGCGGGUUCCGCCCGCCGCGUUUUCCGAGCGGCCGCGUGGGGCCGGUGUCUGCGCGCCGGGGCGGCGAUCAGCCAGGGACCGGCUGGGGCUGGAGGCGGGAGGCCAGUUGGUAGCAAGGACCACGAGACUCUGCCUCCCCGGAGGCUGGCUGGUUUCGGUGUGGGUUACUUUCCUGAGUUGCACGCCCUGGAAACUAGUUCGGGAGCAGAAAGUAACCUCCGCGUGGCCAGCGCCGACCGAUGGUCAGCUCCGGGCGAGCAGGACACGCCAGCGCCGAGACGGACGGGUCGGCUGCGAGGGAUCAUGUCCAGGGCGGCUUUUCUAAGGCCGUGUUUCAGGCAGGAAGACUCCAAGGGAAGGGGUUCCUAAGCCCACGCUGCCUGGGGGAAAAAAAGUUUACUUUCUUCUAAAGACCCGUCCCAUUCGCCCCGCUUUGCUGUCUGCCUGGACGCCCAGAAAGAAUGCAGCGGGUCUUUUUCCAGUCCCCUCGGGGAAACGGGAUUGUCCAGGUCGGAUUCCACAGUGAAAGUGCGUGGCCGACCCAAGGAGACCUGCGCUUAAGGGACGUGGGAAAGUCAGACAGUUGGGUCAGUGCUCGAUUUUCUUGUCGCUCUCCCACCGGGCCUGACCGGGUUCCAGCGCUGCCCGGUGACGUUGACAGGGGCACACCCAGACGCGGCUCCCGCCGCCCUGAGCCGGUGCCCUCAGCUCUCAGGACGCUGAGGCGCAAGCGCUGGUCCCGGAAUGGGCAUGCGUGGCGGCGGCACGUUGCGGCGUGGUAGACACGCUAAUGUGAUUGGGCGUCCGAGGCCCACGCCAGCCAAUCAGGAGGCACGCUGCUCCCCGCACCCUAAAAAUUUGCCCCACCCUCCGCAGUCACCUCUGCGGGACCCGGGAAAAAGAUUGAAGUGGCGCUGGCCUCGGCUGCGAAGUCGCGGGGUGAGGACUGUUAAGAACCUAAAUCCCAUCACCGCGGCGGUUUCCUUGGAAGCCAUCAUCACCAUCAACAGAUGUAGAGCGGACUGCCGAUCUGGUUGGAAAAUUGUAUUUUCAAAGAUGGCUGCACCAAUAUAUGCCACAUCCCACAUGCUCUUCUUACAGUGCGACACACUUGUACUGACAGUGUGGGGUACUUCAACCAUUAGUUCAUCCUUUUACUACCCAGCAUGGUCACAGAGCUUGGUGGUCAACAGUAUGGAAUUGGAAGAUAGACGCCCAGGUUUGAAUUCCGAAUCCACCUCUUAUUAUCACUGUGGUACUGGAAUCGCUACUUAGCUUCUGAACCUUAUUAUCUCCUAAUGGACUGUCCUAACAAGAUUACUUGGAAGAGUAAAUGAGAUAAAAUACACAUACCAUACCUGUUACACAGCAAGUACUAAAUAAACAUUGGUUACUGAACAUAA